rnacentral:rRNA from 1 species
UACGGAGGAUUCGAGCGUUAUCCGGAUUUAUUGGGUUUAAAGGGUGCGUAGGCGGGAUGCCAAGUCAGCGGUAAAAAUGCGGUGCUCAACGCCGUCGAGCCGUUGAAACUGGCGUUCUUGAGUGGGCGAGAAGUAUGCGGAAUGCGUGGUGUAGCGGUGAAACGCAUAGAUAUCACGCAGAACUCCGAUUGCGAAGGCAGCAUACCGGCGCCCUACUGACGCUGAGGCACGAAAGCGUGGGUAUCGAACAGG